rnacentral:rRNA from 1 species
GAUGAACGCUAGCGGCAGGCUUAAUACAUGCAAGUCGAGGGGCAGCAUGACUGUAGCAAUACAGUUGAUGGCGACCGGCAGACGGGUGCGGAACACGUACAGAACCUUCCUUCGAGCGGGGAAUAGCCCAGAGAAAUUUGGAUUAAUACCCCAUAGUAUUACGGAGUGGCAUCACUUUGUAAUUAAGGAUUUAUCACUUGAAGAUGGCUGUGCGGCUGAUUAGGUAGUUGGCGGGGUAACGGCCCACCAAGCCUGCGAUCAGUAACUGGUGUGAGAGCACGACCAGUCACACGGGCACUGAGACACGGGCCCGACUCCUACGGGAGGCAGCAGUAAGGAAUAUUGGUCAAUGGACGAAAGUCUGAACCAGCCAUGCCGCGUGGAGGAUGAAGGUCCUCUGGAUUGUAAACUUCUUUUAUAUGGGACGAAAAAGGGUCUUUCUAGAUCAACUGACGGUACCAUAUGAAUAAGCACCGGCUAACUCCGUGCCAGCCGCCGCCGUAACAC